UUAUGGCUCAGGAUGAACGCUGGCGGCGUGCCUAACACAUGCAAGUCGAACGGAGAUUUAACGCUGAUGAGGCUUCGGCGGAAUCUUGUUAAAUCUUAGUGGCGGACGGGUGAGUAACGCGUGGGCAACCUGCCUCGUACUGGGGGAUAACAGUUGGAAACGACUGUUAAUACCGCAUAAGCGCACGGUACCGCAUGGUACAGUGUGAAAAACUCCGGUGGUACGAGAUGGGCCCGCGUCAGAUUAGCCAGUUGGUGGGGUAACGCCUACCAAAGCAACGAUCUGUAGCCGGACUGAGAGGUCGGACGGCCACAUUGGGACUGAGACACGGCCCAAACUCCUACGGGAGGCAGCAGUGGGGGAUAUUGCACAAUGGGCGAAAGCCUGAUGCAGCGACGCCGCGUGAGUGAAGAAGUAUUUCGGUAUGUAAAGCUCUAUCAGCAGGGAAGAAAGACUCGUAAGAGAGAUGACGGUACCUGACUAAGAAGCCCCGGCUAACUACGUGCCAGCAGCCGC
rnacentral:rRNA from 1 species